GACGAACGCUGGCGGCGUGCUUAACACAUGCAAGUCGAACGGAAAGGCCCUGCUUUUGUGGCGUGCUCGAGUGCCGAACGGGUGAGUAACACGUGAGUAACCUGCCCUUGACUUUGGGAUAACUUCACGAAACUGGGGCUAUUACCGGAUAGGAGCUCCUGCUGCAUGGUGGGGGUUGGAAAGUUUCGGCGGUUGGGGAUGUACUCGCGGCUUAUCAGCUUGUUGGUGGGGUAGGGGCUUACGAAGCUUUUGACGGGUAGCCGGCAUGAGGGGGUGAACGGGCACCUUGGGACUGCGAGACGGAGCAGAAGCGUACGGGAGGCAGCAGUGGAGAGUAUUGCGCAACGGGGCGAAGUCUGAUGCAGCAGCGCUGCGUGCGGGAUGCCGGCUUUCGGGUGAUAAACCGCUGUCGAAUGUGACGAAGCGGGAGUGACGGUAAUGGGUAAAGAAGCACCGGCUAACUACGUG
rnacentral:rRNA from 1 species